AUUGAACGCUGGCGGCGGGCCUAACACAUGCAAGUCGAACGAGUGGCGGACGGGUGAGUAAUGUCUGGGAAACUGCCCGAUGGAGGGGGAUAACUACUGGAAACGGUAGCUAAUACCGCAUACCAUCUGAUGUGCCCAGAUGGGAUUAGCUUGUAGGUGAGGUAACGGCUAACCUAGGCGACGAUCCCUAGCUGGUCUGAGAGGAUGGCCAGAGACACGGGAACUGAGACACGGUCCAGAUGCCGUCGGGAGGCAGCAGUGGGGAAUAUUGAAAAAUUGGCGAAAGCCUAAUGCAGCCAUGCCGAGUGUAUGAAGAAGGCCUUCGGGUUGUAAAGUACUUUCAGCGGGGAGGCGUUACCCGCAGAAUAAUCACCGGCUAACUCCGUGCCAGCAGCUGCGGUAAUAC
rnacentral:rRNA from 1 species